AUCGUGAGAUGUGGGAGAGAAGAAGCAAUAGCGAAAUUGUAGCCCUACGGACAGAAACCUGAUACUAAGGCGUAUUAAGCGGACAAGUUGGCCUAAAGCAAUGAAGUCCAAAAGGUAACCGCAAACCAAAUGCGUAGAUUAAGAGGGUA
rnacentral:ncRNA from 1 species